UUCUUGGGUAAAAAGCAAAUUCUAUAUGUGCUGAAGUAUUUAUUCUGCACAUGUUAUUAAUUCACUCAUCUGUGGAUAUUAGAAAGAUAUUUACAAUGUUUUGUGAUGUAUUGUUUGGAAACAGGAAGCCACAAUAGGAGGUAGGUAUUGUGGGUAUGUUGCGGAUUAAUUUUUUCACCGACCUUGACAUUGGUAGAAACAGCUGACUGGCAUUUCACUAGGAACUAUUCAACACCAUGUUUUCUGUUUGUUUUUCAUUUGCAGACACAUGGAACUAAAGAGAAAAGAAUUAAACAUCUGGUUCAGUUCAAGGGGACGGUACAGUCUAUUAGUCAAAAGGUCAGGGUGUACAUCCAUGUUAUCUGGUACAGAGUAAUCAUCAGACAGUGUUCUAGUCUCAGCCAAGCUGCGAAGUGGUACAGCAUUGGUGUCAGUACCAUCAACAUCUUUAAAGAAUUAAACAUCUGGUUCAGUUCAAGGGGACGGUACAGUCUAUUAGUCAAAAGGUCAGGGUGUACAUCCAUGUUAUCUGGUACAGAGUAAUCAUCAGACAGUGUUCUAGUCUCAGCCAAGCUGCGAAGUGGUACAGCAUUGGUGUCAGUACCAUCAACAUCUUUAAAGAAUUAAACAUCUGGUUCAGUUCAAGGGGACGGUACAGUCUAUUAGUCAAAAGGUCAGGGUGUACAUCCAUGUUAUCUGGUACAGAGUAAUCAUCAGACAGUGUUCUAGUCUCAGCCAAGCUGCGAAGUGGUACAGCAUUGGUGUCAGUACCAUCAACAUCUUUAAAGAGCACACUUGUAUCAUUGGAGGUACCUAGCACUGUAUCAUUCGCCUCGACUGAACAGCCAGAUGUUACCACAAGUACUCCUGCAGAAAUGGCUUAUAUUACAACAGUCAAUAAUGUUAGUAUUGGCAACAUACAUCCUACAUAUUUAUGUGCUAACACAACUAGAAGAGCCAUAUCAGCUGAUGCUUCUGUGCUUGAAGUUGGUGCAAAUUAUAUUGUGGAGUCAGCAACACCUGCGGAACCUACUGGCAGCACCAGCAAUACAGAGGAGAGCUUUGAAGAAGCAGGCACACCAGCAAUGCAGAGGAGAGCUUUGAUGAAGCAGGCACACCAGCAAUGCAGAGGAGAGCUUUGAUGAAGCAGGCACACCAGCAAUGCAGAGGAGAGCUUUGAAGAAGCAGGCACACCAGCAAUGCAGAGGAGAGCUUUGAUGAAGCAGGCACACUAGCAAUGCAGAGGAGAGCUUUGAUGAAGCAGGCACACCAGCAGUGUUAUUCAGACGCAACAGACUCAGCUUGGUAACAAUGUAUUAGUGGGUUUAAAUUAAACUACAGUACAACCUCUCCAGAGCGGCCCUCUCUUAAGCUAAAACCUCUCUGUAACAACAUCAUCAAAAUUUCCCUAAGCUGACAAUAUACUAUCAAAUUUUCCUCUCCAGAACAACAACCUCUACAUAACAGUAUCUUGCUUUCUAAACGUCAUCAUAUGAUAACGUAUGAGCUUAUAUAUAAAGUGAACAAUCGUGAAAAAACAAACUGAUUAUUAACCAAGUUGGGUAAAAGUUUGAUAACGUAUAUCCUUGGGACGGGGGCGGCACAUUUUAAUGCAAUCUCACCAGGCAUACGUAAGUUUUUGAGUGGCAACACAGAAAAAAAUGCCAGACGACCUUCAGCUUUUUUUGAAAGUAAAGAAAAUGAAAGUAAGCAGGCUAAACUUGGAAUCGAUAGUCACAUUUGCAACGGUCACCCAGUCUAAAUGUAUGCUCGUGGACAUUUUCUAACGAUUUGAAAAUACAUGGGUUUUAGCACAUGUUAGCUUUUUAUCUACGAAAAAUAUUUUUGAACUCGGAAUAAACAAAUCCCACAGGGGUCCGUAACGGAACAAGGGUAUAGGGAGAAUUUUAGAGCUUCGUCAAAUCGUUCAAAAGGUCCUUUUUGAUGUUGUCUGAAAAUGUCAUUAUAUGCCUCAGAUGUACGAUAUUUUCGUAUUAAAGAGCUGCAGACCUAGACAUUUCAGAAAUAUUUUCAAAAUGAAUUUCGUGCCAUAAAUGUUGAUUCUACGGAAGUGUGAAAGGUCCAUUAGACGCUAAUACGUUUUAUUACGGCCGCGGAAAGGAUAUAUAGAUGAUAUUACACAAGUAUCUUUCCAUACUGAAUUUAUUAAAUGAGUUGACUAAAAAUAAUGCAGGGAUCUGCCAUGCAUUUUAUCUUUGUUUUCAAACGAAUUAAAUCUUGUGUAUAUUCCUUUAGAUAUGUAAAAGGGCGCUAUCGUUAAAUUACACAAAGGUACAAAAUGACCCAAACAAAUAUCGUGUAAUUAUAUGUGCUUUAUUGCCCAAAAUUCUAAAAGCGUACGAAGUAAUUCAUCUUCGCUGUAAACACAAAAUAUUAAGUUCUUUAAGUGUUGGUCAACAGGGUGGCGUCCAUUAGCGAUAGAUAUACGUCAUUUUAUUCAAAUUCCUGGCGAUAUGAAUACAGUUGCUCAACAUGUGCCGGAAUGACAUAUAAUAGAACGAAAAGAACUGAGACAACGAUUUUAAGAGCUGAAAAUUGUAAAUAUUAGGAAGUUUAUAUGACAAAAAUUGUCAUACAAGACACGAGCGCAAAACUGCGACUUGCUUACUUUAGUGUAUAGGCAGCAGAGACUUUCCAUCAGUAACUUUAUCUAUAUAUUUCACCUUGAGAGUUCUUAAAGGUUUAACUUUUUUUGAAAUAUUGUCUAUUUGUUGAAAAAUUUCAUGCAAAAAAUGUCACAAUUUAUCCAGGACAUUCUUGAUUUGUAUAUAUUGUAAUGGAGUUGUAGAAGAUGAAUAUCACUUUACGAUGAUGAUGUGUCCACUGUUGGAUGAUAUUCGUAAAAGAUAUAUUCCGCAAAAAUAUUAUGAUAACCCAAACCUUAAUAGUUUUUUUUCGGUUGAUGUCAUGUAGGAAUGAAAACACAAUGAAGAAUUUGGCUGCAUUUAUCUAUCAUGCCUUUGAACUAAGAAAAUAAUUUAUAAUUUAGUUACCUUUUGACAUGUAUAUUGAAAAUAGUUGCUAAAUUAACUUUUGAUACUUUUAUGUAGCUUGACGUACAAUUUAUAAGUAAUUAAUUGUAAUUGUUAUUGUACAUGUAACAUGUGUUAAAAUAUGCUAUUUUUAUGUACAUACUGUGUCAUGAUGCUGUUUAUAAUGUAAACUAUUGAUAUGUAUAUAUGUUUUGUGUAUGGGCCGGAUGCUUUAAUGCAAAUAAUCUAAACUGAUCAGAUUUGAUCUUUACAUAUUCACUGAUCACUGAUCUCUAACUGCUGUAAUUUAUAUUUUUUUUUCCAUGCACAAAAGUAACAAAAACCGUUUGAAAGAGAUCUGAUGUACAUGUCAUAGUCACCUUAGCCUAUAAUAUCGUUUUAGCAUAGUUGCCUCAACGUCUUUAUGAAUAUUUUAUCUAGGAUCAUUUUUUCAGCUCAACUCUUUUUCAGAAAAUGAUUCUUUCAUAUUUUUUCUUAUAUUCUGAAACAAAUAUUGCCUACUUAAAGUUUGUAUUUAAUGUUCCAUGCCUAUUUGUGCAAGCAAAUCCAAAGUCUGAACAAUGAUAGUACUUCAUCCAAAUUAUAUUUUAUUAAAUGUGUAUGUAAGUCAGGACUGAAUGUCGUAAUUUAUUUAAUAGAUCACAUUACACUAGUGAAUUACCAAAAUUUAUGUAAUUUGUUAUUUCAAUCCCACGACGUCAAACAUGUGAUGAACAUAAUCAAUGUAAUAUUGAUAAUUUCAUACUCGUAUGUUUUUCCUUUAAAGCUCACUGGAACUCUGCAUUUGACUGUUGGCUUAUUCAAAGUCUUCUUAUGAAACAACUCUCUACAAGGUUCUUACACUUAAUAAAAUUUAAACUCUCUGUAAUAAAAAAUGAGUUUUUUUAAUUCCUCUCUUAAAAACCCGUCACAGAACCACUGUCUGAAAAUAUAGAUACCUUAGUUAUAUAUAUAGCACUUAAAGAAGUUGAAAUGAUUUACACGAACGGAUGAACUGAUAAAACUGUAUGAAUAACAUUAAAAUAUUUUACUUCUUCUCUCCCCUCCUCUACCUAUCCACUCUUUGAUUUUACUUACCUGUGUACUAUUUAUCUCAAAUAAUCCUGUUGUUCAAUUCUGCGAUAUGAUACAAGUGUCUGCAAAAGGUUCUAUCAUUGGGUUCGGAUUUCUUAAGUACUACGUUUUAUCAAAUUAUUUUUUAUUACAAACUUUCAAAGUAUUACCCCUUUACCGAAACACAGUUUUGUAACCUUUGGACCAAUUUGCAAAUCGCGAAAAGCAGAUAAAGAGUCUUUUAGUAUCUGUUUGUUUGAGACACUGAUAAAUGGCGCUGCCAAGAGAACUUCUGGACUUAUAUUUCUUUCCAGAAAGGCUUUUCUUAAGCCUUGGAAAUAUAAAAGUCACAGGGACUCGGGUCAGGUGAAUAAGGCGGAUGGUUUUCAACUUCCACCUUUUCAGAAGCCAAAAAAGACUUAACAACCUCGCACUUGUGAGAGGAGGCAUUGUCGUGUAUAAGACGGACUCCUGACGGACGUUUCCUAUUGUAAAACUAUUUCACUUUCUUUAGUACAGAGUACUUGUGGAAUCGUCCAGGGACUGUAUGACCAGAUUGACAAGGCACUUGAACGACUGGCUCAUUAGAACUGAAGAAAAUUGCGUACAUCUUUAUCGAACUUAUGGUUCUCCUGGCAAUACAGCGGCAUUUUUGAUAUUUUGCAUUGCUUAUUAUCAGCCCUUCUCUCUGGUUCAAACAUGUGCUCCUAGGUUUCGUCACCUGUUAGUAAGUUAGAAUUAAUCUGACUAUUACAGCCUUUAUAUGUUUUCAAAAGUUCCCGGGCACAUUAAGGGGUUGUUUCUUUUACUCCUCAGUGAGCAAAUGAGGUACCCACUUAGCGCAAGGCUUUCUCAGGUUCAAACUUUUUUUUCAGAACGUUUUGCAUACUUUCUACUGAUAUGCCAGUACAGCUGGCUAUAUCUUUCACCAAAGAUCACGCAUCCUGUUCUACCACAGCUUUUACAGCAGCGUUGUUUGCCUUCGUAACAGAGGUUUAAGGCCUACCAGAACAGGUAUCAUCCUCAAAAGAUAAUUUUCCAGCUUUACAAGCUUUAACCCACCUAAAAUCUGUGCGCACUGAAAUGGCCUGAGGUCCAUCUAUACCACACAAUUCAUCAAAUAUAUGUGUGAAUCUAUAUCAAGCCUAAUGCGGUAUUUAAUAUAGCUACGGGUUUCAGUCUUGUCCAUUUUACAAUGUGACAAGUAAAUUGGUCUGUGUAUACAACUGGAUGUAUUUCAAUUUGAAAUAACUUGGUGAUUUUGGAAUAUCGUUAGCUAGAACACACCAUUCAAAUGCAAUGAAGCGUUUCAAAAAUUCCUGGGAUAAAAUACGGAAGCCCAUUAGUGACAGAACGUUUUGCAAGACCCUCGUACCUAGCUUACAUGAGGCAUGUCUAUUCGCCUAAGUCUAACUUUAACUCUAAUAAUAUGAAAUAUUUAAAGUCAAUAACAAAGUGAAUCAUUUAUACUGAACGAAAGAGGUUGUCAUAGAAAGUUAUAAGAGCUGUCCGUAAUACUACGCACUAGACUAUACGACAACUUCUUAGCUGAAGAUGACUUAUGUAACUGAAUUAUUUUAUUACUAUUUUACAGUGGCAAUUAUAACAACUUGCAUGCAAAACUUCAAACAUUUUUUCUAAGCCAGAUAUGUGCCAUGAUAAUAAUUAUUUUCAACGAAGAGUUACCUAACUUGAUUAUUGCAGUCGGCUAAAUAGCAUGGAAGUAUUGUAUUAAUUUCAACGAAUUACAUGUCGUUUUAAUACAAAUCUAAAUCAAAUUUUAGUAACUGUUUCGGAAAGAAUAUAAAAUAUUACGUCCUGUACUUUUCUAUAAAAUAUAUCAAAAGCCCGUUUUUAUCGGUCAAAUAUUGCUUUUAAAACUUAAAAAACAAAUAUUACUACAUGUAGGUAAUUUCAGAAACUCAUAUUCUUUUGACUCUAUUUUAUUUCAUUAACGGAAUGGCCUCAUGGCCUUUUUCAAAAUGAUAGAUUUCAAGUAAUUCUCUACAUCAUGGCGUUCUUUCAAUGCAACUGCAACGAUGUUGAGAGCUACUUGAAAUUUAGGUCAUGAGACCAUAACGUUAAUGAAAUAAAAUAGAGUGAAAACUAGAGAAUCUUCGAACGUUCGAUGUCCCUUAGGCUAAAAACAGUGUUAUCAAAUUAUUUUGACAAAAAGGCUGUGUCGACAAAUAUACUAUUUUCAAUGUUGACUUAUUUUGAUUUACCUUAUUUUGAUACAAACACGUCUACAAUUACAAGUUUUACUGCUUUAAUGCACAAUUUGAAUUAUUUGCUGAAAAAAGCACUGAUAAUGAAAGGAAAUAUCUUCCUUGUUUGCGUGAGCUACGUGCGACUUAGGCCAGAGUUUUUUAUUUUUCGUUUUACGGGAGCGCCGGUCCUAAAUAUUGCAAAAAUGAAAUAAAAUUAAAAUUCA
rnacentral:misc_RNA from 1 species